rnacentral:lncRNA from 1 species
UUGACGAGGCACUCGUUACUAUGAUUUGCAUGAAACUUAUGCCAAGAAUUUACUUAACGUGAUUGUGACUAGCAACCUUCACUACUUGUGAAUAUAAGUUCAUAACGAUUAGGUGAAACUCCCUUAUAUUCUAGCGUCAAAUUCAUGCAUGAAAAUUAAGCGUGCACUCUCAACCAACAUACACAAAUUAGUUUUUAUACGAACGGAUAAGUAAAUUGAAUUCACAAUUCAAGAAACGCAAUUGGAAGUAAUCAAAUCAUAUAGCAAGUAUAAACAUGGUUUUGAAUCCCCCCUAGCCAAGGGGGGUUUAGUUCCUCAUUAUUACAAAACAAAGAUAAACAAAUUUAACCAUUGAAAAACAAAGGGAAGAAAGCACCUAAACGUUCCAACGAUCCAUGUUGGAUAGCAAGCGCGUCCAAGGACUUUUCUCCUUCUCCUUGCCGCCACAACAAGGUUGGAAUGAUGUUGAAGGGUUGGUUAUUUGGAGGAAUGGAUGGGAAGGGGUUUAGAUAUGUAGGAGAGGCAAGGAAAGGCUUGGAGAAUGGUUAAUUUCUGGAUGAUUUGAAUGAGGUUGCUGCCAUGGUAUUUAUAGGAAGAGGAUGGACAUGUUUAAUGCAAAAAUCUGGUGGAAUGAAGUAGGUAAGGCAUGGCAAGGUGGAGAAUUGUUGGUGAGGGUAGGUUUUGAGUCAUCCACUCACAUGUCAUGGUGAGUUAAGCAUUGCAUCAUCCACUCAAAUGUCAUGGUGAGUUAAGCAUUACAUCAUCCACUCAAAUGUCAUAGUGAGAUAGGCAUUGCAUCAUCACUAAAAAAAUCUGGUGGAAGUAAAACAAAGGGAAGGCCACGGCAUUGAUGAAUUUUAUGGGGUAUGCAUGGUUUUGAGUGAAGUUUUGGCCAAUCCUUUUAGAAAUUUAUCCCUUCUUGCAACUUGUAUUUGUUUCACCAGAUUUUUAGCAUGUUCUUAGCCUCUUUUGUCUUCAAAUUCGUCCAUCCAUCUUGCUCAUAUCAUAUGUAAUCCAUUCCAAGCUCAAAACUGCUCCAAAAUGCACCAAAAUGCACUUUCUUGCUACCUUAGCCCUUUGGACCUACAAACACACGAAAAUGGCUUAAAGUACUAAAAUAACUAAGAACUAAUAACGUAAAUGCAAGAAAACUAGUUAACUAAGUCGCAUAAAUAUGCGUCUAUCAAAUUCCCCCACACUUAGCUAUUGCUAGUCCUCGAGCAAAAUAAAACAAAUAAAACAUAACCUAACCUUCCAACAUUUGCUACAGGGAUUUCCAAUGCACAUGACAUGUUAAAGAUUAUCAUUCCCACAUAAUUGAGUCAAUUUAACACUUAAGCACAUACUUAAUCAUAGUCACUACUUACUAAUUCACAAUUAACCAAUUAAAACAAUGUUUUGAAUGUAGUAACAUGCCUUAGAGAAUUCCCUCAAUCCUUACAAGAUACGCACUCUAUUUUCACUCAGAUUUUCUAACUACACACCCUAUACUAGUUAUAUGUGAGAGAAUUGAUGUAGAUAUAAAAACGAAUGCUCACAUAUAUGUAUAACAAAGAACACAAUUUCUAGAGUUAAUAAGCAUGUUGAGAUAUGAUCUCAUGAAUGGAAUGCUACUACUUAGAUGCGAGAACCAGUGACCAUAUGCUCAUACCAAGUUCAAUCUCCACAAAUUGAAACACAUAACACUCAAGAUAGAAGUCAAGGGUUGUAACGGGGCUUGGGGUAUUGGCUAACAAAGAAAGGAUAAGGAAAACAAACGUUCUUAAAGUGAUAGUAAGCAAAGUAAUGAAAUUGAGACUUAGAAUUUACUUAGAUUGCAGAAAUUAGCUUUAAAACACAAGGGGAAGAUUUAAACAACUCCUUAGGGUCGAAUUCAUUGUUUUGGACCCCUUCUUCAUCAAACAACACUUUAGGACUCUUUUUCAUUUCUUUUCAACUCUUUUCGCAUUCUUUUCAUAUUUUUCUUUUCUUUUUUUCUUUCUUUUUACCCGUGCCUAUGGCACAUAAUUCCUUAUGAAAAACACUUCCCCCACACUUGUUUUCUGCCACAAAGGAAUUCAAUUUGAAUCAUGCUUUACUACGCUUUAAGAACAAGGUUAAUGGAUGGUCCUAAUCUAAGCUAGGUGAGGGUAAUGUGGGUUACAAAGAAAAGGCUCACAAAGCUCAACGGGAUUAAAACGUACAAAAACAUAAUGACAUAGGGGAUUCACGGCUUUUUUGGUUAUGGUGGUGGUCACUACACAACUUUAUCUUGAAUAUGUGUUAUGCAAAUCAAUGACAUGCUUUGAAUGAAAUGGGUAUGAGUUCUAGCAUUUGGAACUAAAUGAUGAAACGCCUUCUAAGUAGUAACCAAGCAAAGAAUAAUGAGAUCAUGCAACGACUUAGAAAACAAUAAAUCACAGAUUAUUAACUCUCCAAAUAAACGUUUAGGCUCAAGUCUCACAAGGUUGUAGCGUUAGUUUGAGUUCUUUCCUUCAAGCAUGUUACAAAAACUGAUUUUUCCUUUAAGAUUGCAUGUAAAUUCAUAAGUUAUAACCACAACCAAGCAUAAACAAAGAGUAAAUCAAACUUUCAUCCAUGUUAAUCACUCUCUUUAACAGCCAUGAAAUUACAAACCAAAUCAUCAUCAUUGUGUUGGAAGGUACCCUAAGACACAAACAAACACACAAAAACAACUCUUUUUGGGUUUUACAAAGCAAUUUUUCAAAUUUUUAUGUGAUUUUCGGAGUUAUAAGUCAGCACACACUAAAACUCACCAAAACAGCCUAACAACACCUAAAAACAGCAAGAAACAACAUUGGGAAGUAUGAGUGAGAAAACCCUACGAAUUUGCAUCAAAACACUUUGGUUACCCCCCCACACUUAAACCAAACAUUGUCCUCAAUGUUUCAAAGCAUAACUAACACAAAAACACAUAAACAAACAAACAAACACUAACAAACUAAAUAUGGCAGAAACUAAUUAAACAACAAAGAGAAGGGUUUAGGAACGCAAAUCUGGAAUUGGAGUGCUCUCUAGGCCUUCCUUUGUCGAAUGCAUGGGUUGCCUCCCACGAAGCGCUUUCUUUAACGUCUUCCAGCCGGACGGUACCUCCGUUUAAGCUUGACUAGGUGCCACGGCAUGGAGGGGUACAUCCUCCAUGACAUGCUCCUUGAUAUACUCAUGCAUUGGGUCUAUGUAUGGCAGUGGAUAAUGAUGGUCUCAGAUUGUGGCAUUGAGCUUCCCAAGGUCAAAGUAAAAACUCCCAUAAUCAUGGAUUCGAUUUGGUACCUGCACCACAGAAGGCAAUAACCUAUUAGUGGAAAUGGGAAUUGGAAUUAGAGGAGGAGGCUUACCAAUGCAUGUAGAUGAAGACUCAAAAGGGGCAGCAAAGGUGGUGCUCUCGGCCAGAUUUGGUAUUUUGGGUGUAAUGACAUGUUUUGUAUGCUCCACUCCAAUACCCUCUUCGAUGAUGCAUCUAAGGACAUCCUUCUUGAUUGGUGCGCAUGAAUGUUCCUUCCCCACAUGUUUAAUCACAUCUAUUGCAAAACAAGAACGAACAUCAUGAGGAUUCUUAACAUAUUCAGGAACUUUGAAUUUAAUCAAUUCAUCACCAAACUCCAUUGUUAACUCUCCCUUAGCCACAUCAAUCUUGGUUUGGGCUAUCUUCAUGAAGGGCCGCCCUAAUAGUAUCGGCAAUGGGGUAGAAUAGGGUGAAUCCUCCAUGUCAAGCACGUAAAAGUCCGCUGGAAAAAUCAAAUUGCCCACCUGCACCAACACAUCUUCCAAAACACCCUUUGGAUAUGCAUUAGAACGAUCGGCUAAUUGAAUAAUCACACCAUCGUUUUUAAGCUCACCUAAGUUCAUAGAUGUAUAAAUAGAGUAUGGCAUAACAUUAAUCGAAGCCCCUAAGUCUAACAUGCAUUGUUCAAACUUAGUCUUGCCAAUAACGCACGGAAUUGUAAAACUACCCGGAUCUUUGCAUUUAGGGGGUAAUUUCCUUUGUAACAUGGCAGAAACAUUCUCACUUACUUGGACCACCUCUUUGUUCGAAAUCCUUCUCCUUGAUGUACAAAGUUCUUUUAAAAACUGAGCAUACCUCGGGACUUGCUUAAUUGCAUCAAGGAGCGGAAUAUUGACUUGAACUUUCCGAAAGGUCUCUAGAAUGUCCUUCUCGGCUUCUUCCUUCUUUGAUUGCCUAAACCUGCCAGGAAAGGGCACAUUUAGUGGAAUGGAACUAGAAAAAGUCGAAUUUGGACUUACCUUGGUGGUUUGGGAUGGCUUAGGAGGGCUAGAUGGUGGUGGCAAGGAUUGUUCAUCCUUGGCCGUGAGUUUUGGUUCCUGUGCUUCCUCUUGUAGCAACUUUUCAUCCUCAUCGUGACUUGAUUUGGAUGAUUUUGGUUUGGCUCCAACCUGUGUACCACUUCUCAACAUGAUUGCAUUGACGGUUUCAAAGCCUCCUUUUGGAUUUGCAAUGGUUGAGCUAGGCAACUUGCCUUGCUCUCGAAACUGCCCCAUGAACUCGGCAAUUUGCCCUACUUGUUUCUCCAACUCAUCCACCUUUUUGUCCCUAUUUUGCAUUCCCUGCGCCAUAGAAGUUAGUAAAUUAAAAAUUUGAUCAUUAUCAAUAGACGAACCUGAUUUUUGGGCAGGUUGUGCUUGGGGUUGAGUUGGUGCAAACGGCUUUUGAUAGAAACCCGGGGGUUGUUGCCUCAAUCCGCUUUGUUGUUGGCCUUGUUGGGGUUCUCGCCAUUUGAAAUUUGGAUGAUCACGCCAACCGGGAUUGUAAGUAUUGGAAAAGGGGUCAUUCCUUGGUUGGUAUUGGUUGCCAAAUCCCACGGCAUUGAGGGUCUCCCACCCUCCAUUUUCUAUCAACUGUGGGCACUUGUCCGUAAGGUGGCCUUGCAUGGAACACACGCCACAAGCUGCCACAUUUUUGCACUUUUUGGACCUUCCACUACCUGAGAAAGCAAAGUAGUAAGGUUAGCCAUUUGAUUUUGAAGUUCGGUUAUGGCACUUACCUCAUUGACUUGAUGUGGUCGUGGGUUACUCCUUUGUCCAACGCCUUCGUAUUGUUGAGCAUUCAACGCACGGUUGGAAAUUAAAGUCUUUGCUGCCGUGGGGGUCUUGUCCACCAAGGCUCCUCCCACCGAGGCAUCUAGCAUUUGACGUUCGAUAGGUAGUAGCCCCUCGUAGAAGUAUUGCAAAAGAAGUUCCUCCUUCAUCUGAUGUUGUGGACAAGAAGCAACAAGAGAUUUAAAACGUUCAUAAUAAGUAGGAAAAGAUUCACCUUCCUCUUGUUGAAUUCCACUUAUCCUUUUCCGUAGGAGGAUGACUCGAGAAGUUGGGAAAAACUUCUCCAAGAAGGCCCGUUUCAUGCUUUCCCAUGAUGUGACGGUUCCGGGCGCCAAUUCGUACAACCAAUCCUUCGCCUUUUCGAAGAGAGAGAAAGGGAAGGCUUUCAUCUUCAAAAUACUCCCAUCGACAUUGACAGGGGUCAUGCUCGAACACACCACCUCGAAUUCUUUCAAGUGUUUGUUAGGAUCUUCCAUGGACAACCCAUGGUACUUCGGAAUGUGGUGUAACAAGCUUGACUUCAAUUCAAAUUCUUCUGUCUUUCCUCGGGCUGCUGCGGGGUAUUGGAUGCAUAGAGGUGCGGCAUUGUCCAAUCCCGAAGCUGAAAGUUCUUUGAUUGUUCGAUUGUCCACCUCCAUGUCUUUUUCUGCCUCCUCCUUUUCUUCAAAUUCGGAUUCAGAACUAGAACUAGGUGGAUUAGGUUCUGGUACUUUCCUUUUCCUUCUCAAAGUUCGUUCAAAAUUGUCGUCAAACUCCGAUAUAAAGUUCGUUCAAAAUUGUCGUCAAACUCCGAUAUAUGUGCACGAACUGGUUGAGAACUACGAGUCAUAAACUAGUACCUGAAAUAAACAAAAUAAAAUUCUAAAAUUAAAACACACAAAAAAAGAAAUAAAAAGAAACAAUGGGGAUUUAGCAAAGUUGCUAAUCCCCGGCAACGGCGCCAAAAUUUGAUGCGAGAAUUACUUGACACACUCAAAUUAAACCCUCUUUUUGACAAUUGUAGCAAAGUAUGUAAGUAGGGAUCGUUCUAAACCGGGGAUUAGGAGGGCUUGCUAAAACCUCUAAACUGACUCAAAAACAAAAAGAAACAAAGUUAAAAAUGUAAACAAAAGAUUUUAAAACAAGAAAGUAAAAGGGGGAUUUGAGUUUGGUGAAGUUGAAAGUAAAGACGAAUAAACUAAAAAACUUAAAUAGAUUUUAAACAAAUUUGGGUUGAAUGGAUAAUGGAAGGCUAGCUAAGGGGUUCUUCUCCACACAUGUCUUGCUUACAUACAAAAUGAUUUCCAAUUGCUCUUCGAUAAGUUAUGAAUACUCAACGCCCCAAAUUAACCGUGAAUUGCACUAAUUAACUCUCAGUUUUUCAACAAGUUAUUAGAUUGGAUGAUUGCAUACGACAACCCAAAACAUUCCCUACAAGUUCCCUACAUGAAUUGCAUAAUAGAGAUACAAGCAAGAAUCAUUAAGUUCUUAUGAAAAACAUAAGCAUUGACGAGGCACUCGUUACUAUGAUUUGCAUGAAACUUAUGCCAAGAAUUUACUUAACGUGAUUGUGACUAGCAACCUUCACUACUUGUGAAUAUAAGUUCAUAACGAUUAGGUGAAACUCCCUUAUAUUCUAGCGUCAAAUUCAUGCAUGAAAAUUAAGCGUGCACUCUCAACCAACAUACACAAAUUAGUUUUUAUACGAACGGAUAAGUAAAUUGAAUUCACAAUUCAAGAAACGCAAUUGGAAGUAAUCAAAUCAUAUAGCAAGCAUAAACAUGGUUUUGAAUCCCCCCCUAGCCAAGGGGGUUUUAGUUCCUCAUUAUUACAAAACAAAGAUAAACAAAUUUAACCAUUGAAAAACAAAGGGAAGAAAGCACCUAAACGUUCCAACGAUCCAUGUUGGAUAGCAAGCGCGUCCAAGGACUUUUCUCCUUCUCCUUGCCGCCACAACAAGGUUGGAAUGAUGUUGAAGGGUUGGUUAUUUGGAGGAAUGGAUGGGAAGGGGUUUAGAUAUGUAGGAGAGGCAAGGAAAG